AAAGAGGCAAACCGUGGGUUUCUGUGUCCAACUUUGACUGUCUGUCCGUCUUAUAUGAUUUUUUUUAUAAUUCGUAUUUUCAUUGUUGUUAGAUGAUAAAACAUGAUUAAUAUUUUAUGCGUGUCUUGUCUUAUUUUUUUCAUAAUUUUUUCAAAUAAGACGAACGGUCAAACGUUGGACACGGAAACCAGGGUUUGUCUUUUU
rfam:Oryza sativa Japonica Group DNA, chromosome 5, cultivar: Nipponbare, complete sequence.